ACGGAGGGUGCAAGCGUUGUCCGGAUUCAUUGGGCGUAAAGCGAGUGUAGGCGGUUUGACAAGUCGAAUGUGAAAUCCCGGGGCCCAACCCCGGAACUGCAUCCGAUACUGUCUGGCUAGAGUCCCGGAGAGGGUGGCGGAAUUCCCGGUGUAGGGGUGAAAUCCGUAGAUAUCGGGAGGAACACCAGUGGCGAAGGCGGCCACCUGGACGGUGACUGACGCUGAGACUCGAAAGCGUGGGUAGCAAACAGGAUUAGAUACCCUGGUAGUCCACGCUGUAAACGGUGAGUGCUCGUCGUCGUGGGUAUUGACCCCUGCGGUGACCAAGUUAACACAUGAAGCACUCCGCCUGGGAAGUACGGUCGCAAGACUA
rnacentral:rRNA from 1 species